GAUAAAUACAUAGUUUUAUCACGAGCUGUUAAACAACUCACAUAAAUCAACAAUCAACUUUAAAUCAAGUGGCUUUAUCAUCAAUGUCUGACUUUACUUUAGAAGAGGAAAUGCUAAACUGGUGAUAAGCCAGGACUUGAUUCUGCAGCCUAAAGUGGAGCUUUGUGAACAGAUGCAUGGGGAGUAUUUCAAAGGCCACACAUUGAAUACAGUCAAAAAUUGUGGGACUAGUUGCUGAUGAUACAAAACUAGGAGGGGUGGCUG